CAUGCAAGUCGAACGGCAGCACAGCAGUAGCAAUACUGUGGGUGGCGAGUGGCGGACGGGUGAGGAAUACAUCGGAAUCUACCUUGUCGUGGGGGAUAACGUAGGGAAACUUACGCUAAUACCGCAUACGACCUUCGGGUGAAAGUGGGGGACCGCAAGGCCUCACGCGAUUGGAUGAGCCGAUGUCGGAUUAGUUAGUUGGCGGGGUAAUGGCCCACCAAGGCGACGAUCCGUAGCUGGUCUGAGAGGAUGAUCAGCCACACUGGAACUGAGACACGGUCCAGACUCCUACGGGAGGCAGCAGUGGGGAAUAUUGGACAAUGGGCGCAAGCCUGAUCCAGCCAUACCGCGUGGGUGAAGAAGGCCUUCGGGUUGUAAAGCCCUUUUGUUGGGAAAGAAAUCCUAUCGAUUAAUACUCGGUGGGGAUGACGGUACCCAAAGAAUAAGCACCGGCUAACUUCGUGCCAGCAGCCGCGGUAAUACGAAGGGUGCAAGCGUUACUCGGAAUUACUGGGCGUAAAGCGUGCGUAGGUGGUUGUUUAAGUCUGUUGUGAAAGCCCUGGGCUCAACCUGGGAAUUGCAGUGGAUACUGGGCGACUAGAGUGUGGUAGAGGAUAGUGGAAUUUCCGGUGUAGCAGUGAAUGCGUAGAGAUCGGAAGGAACAUCUGUGGCGAAGGCGACUAUCUGGGCCAACACUGACACUGA
rnacentral:rRNA from 1 species